UACGAAGGGGGCUAGCGUUGCUCGGAAUUACUGGGCGUAAAGGGAGCGUAGGCGGACUGUUUAGUCAGAGGUGAAAGCCCAGGGCUCAACCUUGGAAUUGCCUUUGAUACUGGCAGUCUUGAGUACGGAAGAGGUAUGUGGAACUCCGAGUGUAGAGGUGAAAUUCGUAGAUAUUCGGAAGAACACCAGUGGCGAAGGCGGCUCACUGGCCCGGUACUGACGCUGAGGUGCGAAAGCGUGGGGAGCAAACAGG
rnacentral:rRNA from 1 species